GCCCGGAUAGCUCGGUCCGUAGAGCAUCAGACGUUUAACUUGAGGGUUCAGGGUUCGAGUCUCUGUUUGGGUG